rnacentral:rRNA from 1 species
UACGGAGGGUGCAAGCGUUAUCCGGAUUCAUUGGGUUUAAAGGGUGCGUAGGCGGAAAAUUAAGUCAGUGGUGAAAGCCCACAGCUCAACUGUGGAACUGCCAUUGAUACUGGUUUUCUUGAAUCUACCUGAAGUGGGCGGAAUAUGUCAUGUAGCGGUGAAAUGCUUAGAUAUGACAUAGAACACCGAUUGCGAAGGCAGCUCACUAAAGUAGUAUUGACGCUGAGGCACGAAAGCGUGGGGAGCGAACAGG